CAGCAGCCACGGUAAUACAGAGGGUGCGAGCGUUAAUCGGAUUUACUGGGCGUAAAGCGUGCGUAGGCGGCUUCUUAAGUCGGAUGUGAAAUCCCUGAGCUUAACUUAGGAAUUGCAUUCGAUACUGGGAAGCUAGAGUAUGGGAGAGGAUGGUAGAAUUCCAGGUGUAGCGGUGAAAUGCGUAGAGAUCUGGAGGAAUACCGAUGGCGAAGGCAGCCAUCUGGCCUAAUACUGACACUGAGAGACGAAAGCUAGGGGAGCAAAUGGGAUUAGAGACCCCCGUAGUCCCUGUCUUUAUACA
rnacentral:rRNA from 1 species